GAAAACUCAGUAAGUACAUAGCGUGAAUCUGCAAGUGUUGGACGAAGAUCUCUAUCUAAUGUCUCCACCAUCUCCAUAUUGGCAUGAAAUUCACAGCCCAAAUACAGACGGAUAUUCCUAUUUCUUGUUUCAUCAACAAGCGUAUCAUACGCGCUCCAAAUAUCCUCCAUAUCAGGUUCAAACAUUUCUUUUCGAAAAUGUGGUGUCAAAAUAAUUGUCUCAACACCAGCGUCUAUUUCCUUUUCAAUCAUCGAAAGGGCCAUGUCCAUAUCCUUCGCUCCAUCGUCCACCCCUGGCAGAAUAUGGCAGUGAAUAUCGUACAAAUCUCUCAUAAAUCUCUUUCCUUAUCUAUUACUUUCCCUUACAUUUCAACGUUAUUCUAGCAUUUGUUAAGUGCCCUUGUCAACCGCUGAAAAUUAGAAGAAAUCAUUCUUAUAAAAGGGUCGGAAUAAGGUGAUAAAUGUGCCAAAAGUGAUUGUUUUUUAUGAAACCGUAUGUCUACAAGCAGUCGGAGCGAAAGCGACGGCGUGCCUAUUGAAGAAUGAACCAACGAGUUACGUGCACUAGCGAGGUUAAGUGGAAGACACGGAGCCGAAGCGAAAGCGAGUCUUAAGAGGGCGGAUAGUUAGUGUACGUAGACCCGAAACCGCAGUGAUCUACCCAUGUCCAGGUUGAAGCGCAGGUAAAAUUGCGUGGAGGACCGAACCUGUGAGCGUUGAAAAGCUUUAGGAUGAGAUGUGGGUAGAGGUGAAAUUCCAAUCGAACGCGGAGAUAGCUGGUUCUCCCCGAAAUAGCUUUAGGGCUAGCCUCAAGUAGUAAGUAUAGGCGGUAGAGCACUGAUCGGGCUAGGGGCCAUAAAGGUUACCGAACCCUGUCAAACUCCGAAUGGUUAUACUGUAGAGCUUGGGAGUCAGACUACGAGUGAUAAGAUCCGUGGUCAAAAGGGAAACAGCCCAGACCACCAGCUAAGGUCCCCAAUGUCGUACUAAGUGGAAAAGGAUGUGGGGUCUCUAAAACAACCAGGAUGUUGGCUUAGAAGCAGCCACCAUUUAAAGAGUGCGUAAUAGCUCACUGGUCGAGAGACCCUGCGCCGAAGAUUACCGGGGCUAAAGUACGAAACCGAAGCUGUGGCUACGACGUAAGUCGUGGGGUAGGGGAGCGUUCUGUGAGGGCUGAAGUCGUUCUGUAAGGAACGGUGGACUUCACAGAAGUGAGAAUGUUGGUAUGAGUAGCGAAAAGAAUGGUGAGAAUCCAUUCCACCGAAAGCAUAAGGAUUCCUGGGCAACGAUCGUCGUCCCAGGGUAAGUCGGGACCUAAUCCGAGGCAUGGAGCGUAGGAGAUGGACAACUGGCAGAUAUUCCAGUACCGGUAAUGAUUGUUUGAGCGAUGGAGUGACACAGGAGGGCAGGCAGGCAGGAGAUUGGUUGUUCCUGUACAAGCGUGUAGGGUGGAACGUAGGCAAAUCCGCGUUCUGUGAGCCUGAGGCGUGAUGUGGAGGUUCCGGAAACGGAACUGAAGCUGCUGACCCCACACUGUCGAGAAAAGCUUCUAGUUAGAGAAUUACCGCCCGUACCGUAAACCGACACAGGUAUGCGGGGAGAGAAUCCUAAGGUGCGCGGGAGAACCCUCGUUAAGGAACUCGGCAAAAUGUACCCGUAACUUCGGGAUAAGGGUAGCCGCUGUUGUGAAGUCUGAACAGAUGGAGCAUGAGGCGGUCGCAGAGAAGAGGCCCAAGCGACUGUUUACCACAAACACAGGUGCCUGCUAAAGAGAAAUCUGACGUAUAGGUGCUGACACCUGCCCAGUGCCGGAAGGUUAAGGAAGGAUGUCCGGAGCAAUCCAAAGCAUUCGACCGAAGCCCCGGUGAACGGCGGCCGUAACUAUAACGGUCCUAAGGUAGCGAAAUUCCUUGUCGGGUAAG
rnacentral:rRNA from 1 species